rnacentral:rRNA from 1 species
CCUACGGGUGGCAGCAGUAGGGAAUAUUGCGCAAUGGAGGAAACUCUGACGCAGCGACGCCGCGUGGGUGAUGAAGGUCUUCGGAUCGUAAAGCCCUGUCGGAUGGGAAGAAAAACACUGAGGGUAAUAUUCUUAGUGCUUGACGGUACCAUUAGAGGAAGCCCCGGCUAACUUCGUGCCAGCAGCCGCGGUAAUACGAAGGGGGCAAGCGUGGUUCGGAAUCAUGGGGCGUGCCGAGCAAGUCGAUGGCGAAAUCCCUGGGCUCAACCGAGGAAGUGCAUUCGAAACUAAUAGGCUAGAAGAUGGUAGAGGAUGGUGGAAUUCCAGGUGUAGAGGUGAAAUUCGUAGAUAUCUGGAGGAAUACCGGUGGCGAAGGCGGCCAUCUGGACCAUUCUUGACACUGAGACGCGAAAGCGUGGGUAGCAAACAGGAUUAGAUACCCUAGUAGUC